rnacentral:misc_RNA from 1 species
CAGAGUCGUAAAACACUCCCAAACCCUUUGCAAACGUACCCGUUUUGUUGCUUCGGCAGGCGAUCCCAGGGCGGGAUCGUGGCCGCGAGGCGCCUGCCGAAGAACAACCCCAAACUCUUAGUCUCAGUGGUCUUCAGAGUAUACAAAACAAAAUAAGUCA